rnacentral:ncRNA from 10 species
UAAAGGCAUUACGAGUGGUCUGGUUAAAACUAGAUCCGGCAACCUGGGAGGACACCCAAGGUGCCCGCUCAUCCGCAAGGAAGAGGAUGUGGCCUGAAAGGGCAACAAAGUGUCCGGU